UGAAGAUGAAACAAACCUCAAGUUUUUCCACCUGGAAUCUCUCCUUCACUUUCGCUUCCGGCAUUCUACGAAUCCAAAGUUGGGGUUUUUAGUUUUGUUUUAGGGAUUAGAAGUUUGCUGGAGUAGUUCCUUAGCUGAGAUCAAGUGGUAAUCCAUGGAAUGAGCUCUCUAUCUUUGGAUUUCAUCCAGUAUAUUUGACGCAUUUAUCUUCAGUCAUAGUUACCAUGAGUUUGAGAUAAGUGAGUAUUCAUAUGCUGGAUGUGAAGUUAUUGAUGGAAAGCUACUGAAUUUGGUUGUUUUCAGUGUCAAGAUGUGAAAAAGGUUUGAUUUUUAGUGAGAUUUUGUGGUAAUGUGGUGGUUGUGGUUUGUUGCAGUGUGCUACUUUGAGAUUCCAUGGCUGGGGAGAUUGAAGAUUGCUUGGAAACGAAGGCUGACAGUUUGCAUAAUGGUUCCAUAUCAUUUGGACGAUUCGAGACUGAAUCAUUAUCUUGGGAAAGAAGAUCAUCGUUCUCUCACAACAAGUAUCUUGAGGAGGUUGAAAAGUGCUCUACCCAUGGUUCAGUUAAUCAGAAGAAAGCAUAUUUCGAAGCUCACUUCAAGAAGAAGCCUCUUAAUCAGUUUUUAGCACAGAGUAGAGAUAGAGCUCAAUGCCUAACUAGUGAAAGUAGCCAUGAAAACAGUGAAAUCCACACUCAGGAAUGUCAAGAUCGUGGAGCUCAAUGCCUAACUAGUGAAAGUAGCCAUGAAGAAAGUGAAAUCUACACUCAGGAAUGUCAAGAUCGUGGUAUCUCAGAUGACCUUGAAGAUGGAGUGACAGAACAUGGAUAUGAAGAUGGAGUGACAGAACAUGGAUAUGAAGAUGGAGUGACAGAGCAUGGAUAUGAAGAUGGAAUGACAGAGCAUGGACAUGAAGAAAUUCCACCCUCUGGAAUUUCAGAACAAUGCACACCUGUGGAAGAUAAUGUUCAAGGCACUGCAGUUGAACUGGUGGAUCAUAUUGACAAAACUCAACCUUUGCAUGAGAAUGACUCAGAUGUGGUUGUUAAUCAGAAAUAUGGAAAAGAACAUGGGGUUACAGAAGGAUAUCCUGAGGAGGAUAGUUUAUCCCAGAGAUCUUUUGUUGAGAAAAAUAGUUAUCCUAGCUUGAGGGAGAUGAAAGAAAUCUCAAAGGUAAAAGCAAUUGUUCAACAGAAAGGUGCAGAAACAAAAUUGAAGGCUCAACCACCUUCUUGUCAAACUCCAAGCAAGAGCUCUACUCAAAUGAAUCUACCUCAUUCCGGCAAGGAAUUCUUCAAAACUUUGAGGAAAAUGAGGGAAGAGCUAAGAGCAAAACCAGAUGAGCAAUCACCUAUCAGUAUUCCACCAAGUACAGUUUCAGGCUUCAAUCCUCCAAAAUCAGAGGGCUCUUCAGGAUCUCUAAAAACUAAAGCACGGCAAGAAAAUAGAAGUGUAAAAGACCAAAGAGAAAAGAAGGGUGGUGCCAUCCGUCAUUCCACAUCUAUAAAGCCUAAACAGGUUAUUACUCCAGCCAAAACCGAAAGUAAGCAGCGUACUGCAUUCAGUUUCAGAAGUGAUGAAAGGGCUGAAAAAAGAAAAGAGUAUUCAAUGAAAAUGGAAGAAAAAUUUCGAGCGAAAGAGGCUGAGACGAGUGAAAUCUUAGCGAGGACUCAGGAAGAGACAGAAGCUGAGAUAAAGCAGCUUCGGAAGAGCCUCAAUUUCAAAGCAACACCGAUGCCUUCUUUCUAUCAUGAAACUCAAACAACUAGAGUCUCUGAUACAAAAAAGAUUGUCACUCCACAAACGACUACAUCGACUAAGUUGCAAACCAAGAGUAAGAACAUGAAGAAGGCUUGAACCUGAAUCAACAAGUUGCAGUACUAACAGAGGGGGAAAAUUCAGAAAAUCAAAACAGGUGGAAAAUGUGCACCAGCAGACAUCUUUAUAGGCCAAACAACAUGGAAUGACACUUUGCAACAGAAAAGAUACACAGUGUUGAUUGCUAAUGUUGGUCAAGUUUCUGUUACUGAUAUUCAUGUCUCUUGUGAUGGUUUCAAUCCAAGAGGAUUAAUCAUGAAGAAACCAGGCAUUUUCAAGAAAGAACGCAGGGGUGAUUGUCUUGUUAUUGAAGGAGGGAGAAUCAAUUCUGGAGACUCUGUUACUUUUGAUUAUAUUAAUGAUUUCCAGUUUAACUUAUAUCCCAUCAGUGUCCAAUGUUUAAUGUGAAAGAACAUUGGAUAAAUAAAAGAUUACAAGAGCCUAUGAAUAAACAUUAGAGAUUCAGAA